GGCUCCGCCUUGUCGCGCACAGGUAAACAACCGCUGUUCUCUAAUUACAAUUACAAUUUUAUAAUUUAAUGUGUGGCUUUAUUGUAGUGCCACCGCUCCUAGAGUCUCGACGUGCCUGAUCGAAGUUAUGGCUCGUGAGUAAAGCUCCUGCAUGUAUUUGCUGUUGAUCGCCACAAGCGCCACUGUUAGCCGCUGUCCACGGUUGGGUCGGUGUUGCUGUCAGAUGCCCCGGCCGCUCGGCGUCAAGCCUCGUGGAUGUAGAAGCGUGUGUUUUGUGGGUCCAGGGUGGUCUUCGGCACGUCAUCUGGUGGAGCGGUGGCCCUGUGAACGAGCUGCUGCUUUGUUUUACUGUGUUUUUAAUUUUAAGGACAAAAUCACCGUACAGCUGCUUUUGGUGACUGUGUUAUCGGCAGUUAUGUGAACAGUGAAUAGUCUACUCUUAAAGUUAAUCUAACAAAUGAAUUAUGGCAAUAAUAAAUAAUUUCAUGUUUUGUAAGUCACUUGUCUCUGUCUGUCAAUUAACGAACCUGUGAGCCUUUUAGUUUAGUAAAUUUAGUUUUAGUUCUGGGCUACGCCCAGUGGCGUUGUUGGUUUUAUGUUGAUUAUCUUACUUUGGGGUGCUCCUCACACCCCUCCCGGAUGCCCCGCUCGCCACACUUGGCGUUGUCGGCAGGAUAAUUGAUUAUGUACAGAGACAUGUGCUUUCAUUUUUAUUUAUUUUUUUAUGAUGCUGUCUGUUUGCAUUAAGUGGAGCGUAGUAGCCAGGUUAAAAUUCCCCAUGUACCAGGUUUAACCUGUCCAACUUUGUAUUGUGCAAACUUCAUUUGUUUCAUGUAUACAUUGGUUUGCUGUGUGAUUUUGUUUUUUACUUUGUGUUUAUUUUAAAUUGUUGUAUAUAUACAUAGUUUCAGAAGUUGACCAAGCAGUAGCAAGGCAUGGUUUACCUGUAGGGAAAUUACUUGAUGCUACCCGUAAUUCUACUUAAAUGUUAAAGCUGAUCUGCAUUGUGAAUUGUUUGGCUAUCUUGAAUGUAUUGGUCUGUUUGUUUUUUUUGUAUUGUGAAGGCAAAGCAGCAGUUGGGGAGGGCAUUUGGAAAAUGGAGUGAGUGUCCGGCGUGGGGUGCUCGAGGUCACAGCAUCAGUCCCAGAGAAUGUGUGGUACCAGGAGCCUACAGUGGAUGGCUCAUACCGCCCAGGUAACUAGAUUGCUGUGAGAUGUUAGGGGCCGCUUGAAUAGCCGUUCCGUUUUGUUUACCUAUGACAGCGUAGGGGCGCAGUAGUUUCCGCUGAAAGCUCAUUGGUUGUCAGUCUCGGUACCGCAGUUUUCGUGGGUUGUCGUAAACGUUAGCCGUCAGUAGCUUCAUCGCACUGGCCGUAGCCUUCAGGGCCCUCCAUCUGCGUGAGAGGAGUUGAGUACAGCUGAGCGAGCUGGUUUUAAUUCUGCAGGUACAGGUGUGUAACUGUGGUAAGGGCCGUGUCCUGUUCGUUCUGGACUGAGUUUAGGUAACAUUUUAAACAGAAAUGUGUUUUAAGAGCACUUAUUUAUGUUCUGCAAGUUCUUUGUGUGCGUCAAUCGUCGGGACGACGAUUCAAAAGGGAGGGGUAUAAUGUAGCAGUGCGCGCCUGCUGCCUUCUGCCACCAGGUGGCGCCUGGGCUUAUAAAAGGGCACUCCCCGUAGCGUCUCGUUCUCUGACCUCGGCGCACUUCCGGGAUAGGGCUCCGCCUUGUCGCGCACAGUGCCACCGCUCCUAGAGUCUCGACGUGCCUGAUCGAAGUUAUGGCUCGUGAGUAAAGCUCCUGCAUGUAUUUGCUGUUGAUCGCCACAAGCGCCACUGUUAGCCGCUGUCCACGGUUGGGUCGGUGUUGCUGUCAGAUGCCCCGGCCGCUCGGCGUCAAGCCUCGUGGAUGUAGAAGCGUGUGUUUUGUGGGUCCAGGGUGGUCUUCGGCACGUCAUCUGGUGGAGCGGUGGCCCUGUGAACGAGCUGCUGCUUUGUUUUACUGUGUUUUUUUAAUUUUAAGGACAAAAUCACCGUACCGCUGCUUUUGGUGACUGUGUUAUCGGCAGUUAUGUGAACAGUGAAUAGUCUACUCUUAAAGUUAAUCUAACAAAUGAAUUAUGGCAAUAAUAAAUAAUUUCAUGUUUUGUAAGUCACUUGUCUCUGUCU